rnacentral:rRNA from 1 species
GACCCGCGUCUGAUUAGCUAGUUGGUAAGGUAACGGCUUACCAAGGCAACGAUCAGUAGCCGACCUGAGAGGGUGAUCGGCCACAUUGGAACUGAGACACGGUCCAAACUCCUACGGGAGGCAGCAGGGGGGAAUAUUGCACAAUGGGCGAAAGCCUGAUGCAGCAACGCCGCGGGAGUGAUGAAGGCCUUCGGGUCGUAAAACUCUGUCCUCAAGGAAGAUAAUGACGGUACUUGAGGAGGAAGCCCCGGCUAACUACGUGCCAGCAGCCGCGGUAAUACGUAGGGGGCUAGCGUUAUCCGGAUUUACUGGGCGUAAAGGGUGCGUAGG